rnacentral:RNase_P_RNA from 1 species
GGUGCAGGCUGGUUUGUCGCUAUUCCCAUUUCAGGGAAGAGAGGAAAGUCCGGGCAACGCAGAGCGCCAUACUUCCUAACGGGAAGGGAGCCUGGCGGAAACGCCAGGUUUACAGACAGUGCCACAGAAAAAAUACCGUCCUUACAGCGGCUUCGGCCCCUCGCAGGAUAAGGGUGAAAAGGCGGGGUAAGAGCCCACCGCGUGUCAGGUGACUGGCACGGCAAGGCAAACCUUAUGGGUUGAAAGACCAAAUAGGCUUCGGUCCAAGGGCUGCUCGUCCAAUCCCGGUUUUCCGGGAAACCGAAGUGGGUAGGUCGUUAGAUCUUUUCUGUGAAGAAAAGGCCAGAUAAAUGACAAACACUUCGCAAGAAGCUACAGAACCCGGCUUACAGGCCUGCACAUUUA